GUGAACAACGAAGGGCGCGCGGUGGAUGCCUAGGCUCUCGGAGGCGAUGAAGGACGCGAUAAGCCGCGAUAGGCCACGGCGAGGUGCAAGUAACCCUUGACCCGUGGAUUUCCGAAUGGGGCAACCCGGCCGUCUAGAUGACGGUCAUGCAUUAAUGCAGGCGAACGCGGGGAACUGAAACAUCUCAUUACCCGCAGGAGAAGAAAACAAAAUGUGAUUCCCCCAGUAGUGGCGAGCGAACGGGGAAGAGCCCAAACCGUUGCCGUUUCGGCGACAGCGGGGUCAUGGGACCGCGAUACUCGACGGAAGACGAAGUGCAAUUACCUGGAAAGGUAAGCCGUGGAGGGUGACAGCCCCGUGCACGACACCUCUUUCAAAGAUAGCGGUAUCCCGAGUAGGGCGGGACACGAGAAAUCCUGCCUGAAUUCGCCAGGACCUCCUGGCAAGGCUAAAUACUCCCGAGAGACCGAUAGUGAACCAGUACCGCGAGGGAAAGGUGAAAAGAACCCCGAGCAGGGGAGUGAAAUAGACCCUGAACCCGCGCGCCUACAAGCGGUCGGAGCCGGGUAAUCCGGUGACGGCGUGCCUUUUGCAUAAUGAGCCUACGAGUUAGUCGUCACCAGCGAGGUUAAGGGCUUCAGGCCCGUUAGCCGAAGUGAAAGCGAGCCUUAACAGGGCGUCGAGUUGGUGGCGCUAGACGCGAAACCUUGUGAUCUACCCACGAGCAGGUUGAAGUCGCGGUAACACGUGAUGGAGGACCGAACCGGUAAACGUUGAAAAGUUUUCGGAUGACUCGCGGGUAGGGGUGAAAGGCCAAUCAAACUGGGAAAUAGCUCGUACUCUCCGAAAUGCAUUUCGGUGCAGCCUGUGAUGUUCUGUUCCAGAGGUAGAGCUACUGGUUGGACGCGAGGGCUUCACCGCCUAUCAAAUCCGGAUAAACUCCGAAUGCUGGAACACGAAAUCAUGGAGUGAGCCCGCGGGUGCUAAGGUCCGCGGACGAGAGGGAAAGAACCCGGACCACCGGCUAAGGUCCCGGAUGGACAGUUAAGUUGAUCAAACGAGGUGGGAUCGCUGAGACAGCUAGGAUGUUGGCUUGGAAGCAGCCAUUCAUUUAAAGAGUGCGUAACAGCUCACUAGUCGAGCGAUCCCGCGUGGAUAAUACACGGGCAUCAAACUGUCAACCGAAGCCGUGGGGUUAGUGAUGAGCUAACCGGUAGGAGAGCAUUCCUGCCAGCUUUGAAGGUCACCCGCGAGAGUGACUGGAGCGGCAUGAAAAGCAAAUGUAGGCAUAAGUAACGAUAAUGGGGGCGAGAACCCCCCACGCCGCAAGACCAAGGAUUCCCCGGCAAUGUCAAUCAGCCGGGGGUCAGCCGGCCUCUAAGGCUCACCCGAAAGGGGAUGCCGACGAGAAACGGGUUAACAUUCCCGUGCUUCUCGUCACCGUGACGCGGUGACGGGGUGAUGAAUGGACCGCGCGCUGACGGAAUAGCGCGUUGAAGGCCGUACCCUAUGACGGUGGUAGUCAAGCACGCCACCGGAGGCGAGAGCCGAUAGUACCACGAGACCCCGGUCGAGUGGAUAGCGUCCAGGCAAUUUACCCCCGAGAAAACCCGCUAAACUUCAAGUGACGAGGAACCGUACUGUAAACGGACACACGUGGUCGGGUAGAACAUACCAAGGCGCUCGAGUGAUUCAUGGUCAAGGAACUAGGCAAAAUAGUCCUGUAACUUAGGGAUAAAGGACGCUCUAGUGAUAGAGCCGCAGAGUAAUGGCCCAGGCGACUGUUUACCAAAAACACAUGGCUAUGCCAAAUCGAAAGAUGACGUAUAUGGCCUGACACCUGCCCGGUGCCGGAAGGUUAAGAGGAGAGCUCAUCGGAAACGAGAAGGUUUGAAUUGAAGCCCCGGUAAACGGCGGCCGUAACUAUAACGGUCCUAAGGUAGCGAAAUUCCUUGUCGGGU
rnacentral:rRNA from 1 species